rnacentral:rRNA from 1 species
GUCGAACGAGGUCCAAGCAGUCGCAAGACUGCGGAAGACCGAGUGGCGAACGGGUGCGUAACACGUGAGGAACUUGUCCCGGUCUCUGGAAUAACAGGUGGAAACACCUGCUAAUACCGGAUGCCGUCGGACCGUCGCAUGGCGGUCUGACGAAAGGGUUACCGGAUCGGGAGAGCCUCGCGGCCUAUCAGCUUGUUGGUGAGGUAACGGCACACCAAGGCAUCGACGGGUAGCUGGUCUGAGAGGAUGAUCAGCCACACUGGGACUGAGACACGGCCCAGACUCCUACGGGAGGCAGCAGUGGGGAAUCUUG